CCUACGGGGGGCAGCAGUGGGGAAUAUUGGGCAAUGGAGGCAACUCUGACCCAGCAACGCCGCGUGAAUGAUGAAGGCCUUCGGAUUGUAAAGCUCCUUUAUUGGGGAUGAACACAAUGACGGUACCCCAAUAGCAAGCCACGGCUAACUACGUGCCAGCAGCCGCGGUAAUACGUAGGUGGCAAGCGUUAUCCGGAAGGACGGGGGGUAAAGGGUGCGUAGGUGGUUUAGUAAGUUGGCGGUGUAAUUCCGGGGCUCAACCUCGGCGCUACCGCCAAGACUAUUUGGCUAGAGUGCAGGAGAGGUAAGUGGAAUGCGUAGUGUAGCGGUGGAAUGCGUAGAUAUUAGGAAGAACAUCGAGGGCGAAGGCGGCUUACUGAACUGUAACUGACACUGAGGCACGAAAGCGUGGGGAGCAAACAGGAUUAGAUACCCUGGUAGUC
rnacentral:rRNA from 1 species